rnacentral:lncRNA from 1 species
CGCCGCGCUCCCAAGAUCCAACUACGAGCUUUUUAACGUUCAGCAACUUUUAAAUACGCUAAUGGAGCUGGAAUUACCGCUGGCGGCUGCUGGCACCAGACUUGCCCCCAAAUGGAUCUCGCGAAAGGAAUUUAAAAGUGGGACUCAUUCCAAAAUUACAGGGCCUCGAAAGAGUCCUGUAUUGUUAUUUUUCGUCACUACGCUCCCCGGGUCGGGAGUGGGUAAUUUGCGCGCCUGCUGCCUUCCUUGGAUGUGGUAGCCGUUUCUCAGGCUCCCUCUCCGGAAUCGAACCCUGAUUCCCGUCACCCGUGUCCAUGGUGGCACGGCGACUACCAUCGAAAGUUGAUAGGGGACGUUCGAAUGGUCGUCGCCGCCACGGGGGGCGUGCGAUCGGCCCGAGGUUAUCUAGAGUCACCAGAGCGCCGGCGCCCGCACCCCCCGGCCGGGGCCGGGGAGGGAGCUCACCGGGUUGGUUUUGAUCUGAUAAAUGCACGCAUUCCCCCCGCGAAGGGGGUCAGCGCCCGUCGGCAUGUAUUAGCUCUAGAAUUACCACAGUUAUCCAAGUAGGAGAGGAGCGAGCGACCAAGGAACCAUAACUGAUUUAAUGAGCCAUUCGCAGUUUCACUGUACCGGCCGUGCGUACUUAGACAUGCAUGGCUUAAUCUUUGAGACAAGCAUAUGCUACUGGCAGGAUCAACCAGGUAGGGGAGCGCGAGCGAGCGAGGGGAGCCGGGGACCGGGAAGCCGAGCGCCCGGGACAGACGGACGGGGGCCGGGGCCCGACGGCGAGGUCUGGUCUCGCCCCGCGGAGAGGCGCGGGCGGGCGGGCGGGCGGGGGAGGCGGCGGAGGCGGAGGCGGACGGGCGCGCGCCGGUCGGCGACCCGACCGCGACACCCGCCGUCCGUCCGUCGGUCCGUCCGUCCGUCUACCGCCGCCGGGCGGACGGGCUCGCUCCGCCGGGACGCACCCCGGGACCGGGGCCGCGGGGCGAGGCGCGCGCGAGGGCGGCGCGGAGCGGCGGGGCGGAAGGGGCGCGGCGACCGCCGACCGCGGCCCGACGGGUGAGGGGGGCGCGGGCCGCACCCCGCGUACCGCGGCGGCGGCGGCGGCGGGCGGGGAAGGACGCGGGCCGCGGGGACCGGCCGGCGCCGAUCGCGCCGCAGGGCGCUCGCCGCCGGUCGACGGGGACGACUCGCCACGCGCGGCGGGGAGGGCGGGGCGGGGGUCGGGGGAGGAGCGGGGCCGAAACCCCGCCCUCCUCCCGGGCGCCCCCCUCCGAACGACCCGCACGCGCGAGGCGGGCACGACGCCACGCCGGCCGGCGACGACGACUCCCGCGACGGACGGGCCGGAGGACCCGGGUCCGCGCCGACCCCGCCCCCGCACGCGCGCGCGCGGGACGGGGAGGGCCUCGCCACACUCGACUCACCGACGGGCCGGGGGCGGGACGGGGCGCCCCGACUUCCCGCGGGCACCUAACGCCGCCGCCGGCGGGGCGGCGGGGCGGAGGACCCGGGGCCGCCGCCGCGGUCCCCACCACGGCGGGCGACACGCGACGAGCGGGAAAGCGAGCCCCCGGGAUCGGAGAAGCCGGGCGGAGGGAGAAAACUCGAGACGGGCGGCACGCGAACGUGGCGGACGGCCAACCCCGGCGCGGGGAGGCGGCGUCACAAGGGCCGCGGGGACGCGGCACCGGUCACCCGCGAGGUCGCCGGGGAAACGACCGCCUCGGGGAGCCCGGCCUUCCGCCGGUCCGGGACCCACGCACGGGAAUCUCACCGCCAGCGCCCCCGCGGCGCAUCGGCGGUCCCGCGCGCGAGCCCCCACCCGGGACGGACCGACCCGGACCCGCCGUCGGCGACGGACCCACGGCGACGCCUCGUCGAGGCCGAGCCCGCGUCCUCGCCGAGCCGGUCGCGAGAUCGGAGCACUCGGACGUCCAAAGAGCCUGCGCGCCGGCACGACGGGCUCCCGAAGCGCGCGGAGGGCGGCAGAAAAGCCACAGAGACGGGCGUCCGAGGAGAGCGGCUCCGUCCACCCCUCGGCGACAACCACCGAGGGACAGCGUGUCAGCACUUACCUGCAGGUACAAAACGCCCGCGUCGCCAAGCUAAAAGUGCGUGCCCGGAAGCGGGGCGAGUCCACCGGUGACGGCGGCCUCCCGGAACCGAGUCCCGGCCACCCGUGUCCAGGACGUCCCCAUCAGAGACACGACCGGAGCCCACAGGGAUAGCUGGUCGACCCCUCUGGGGGCAGAAAGGGACCCCGGCGACGACUCGAGAGCCGUAGCGGGCCGGGCACACCUUCCCCGGCCGGUGAGCGGAACGCGGAGCGGGGGCGGGGGGGGACUCACCCGCGGCAGGCACCUCCGACGAACGGACCGCGCGAGGGCACGCGGGCGGGCGAGGCCGCGUCUGCGCCGGGCGACCGCCUACCCGGGGACCGGUCCGUGACUCCCGAGGAGCCAGGGCCGGCCGGCGGCCGAGCGGCCCCGUCCCAACUCCAGCCCCCAAGGCUCGGGCUCGCUCCGUCCGCUAGGCCUCCGCUCGCGGAAGAGCUCUCCGGAAAGUCCCGGACCAGCCGCACCAGCAGACGCGGAGCCCGGGAGCGCGGCGACAGCCUGCCCUCCCGCGAACCCGCAGGUCCAAACUACGACAGACAGGCGACGCAGCGCCACCGCGCCACCGCGGCCGCAGGGCCGCCCGGCUCCCCGGAGCAGCCGGGACUCUGCCCGGCUCACCACGGCCACACGUCAUCCCUUGGCCCGGCCGCGGAAGUCAAAGGGAUGCCUGCUAUAUAAAAGCGGCCGCCAGGUGGCGCUCGCCUUC